UACGAAGGGGGCUAGCGUUGUUCGGAAUCACUGGGCGUAAAGCGCACGUAGGCGGAUCUUUAAGUCAGGGGUGAAAUCCCGAGGCUCAACCUCGGAACUGCCUUUGAUACUGGGGAUCUCGAGUCCGGGAGAGGUGAGUGGAACUGCGAGUGUAGAGGUGAAAUUCGUAGAUAUUCGCAAGAACACCAGUGGCGAAGGCGACUUCCUGGCCUGUUCUUGACGCUGAGGCGCGAAAGCUAGGGGAGCAAACGGG
rnacentral:rRNA from 1 species